rnacentral:rRNA from 1 species
CCUACGGGGGGCAGCAGUGAGGAAUAUUGGUCAAUGGACGAGAGUCUGAACCAGCCAAGUAGCGUGAAGAAUGACUGCCCUAUGGGUUGUAAACUUCUUUUAUAUGGGAAUAAAAUGUUCCACGUGUGGGAUUUUGUAUGUACCAUAUGAAUAAGGAUCGGCUAACUCCGUGCCAGCAGCCGCGGUAAUACGGAGGAUCCGAGCGUUAUCCGGAUUUAUUGGGUUUAAAGGGAGCGUAGGUGGAUUGUUAAGUCAGUUGUGAAAGUUUGCGGCUCAACCGUAAAAUUGCAGUUGAAACUGGCAGUCUUGAGUACAGUAGAGGUGGGCGGAAUUCGUGGUGUAGCGGUGAAAUGCUUAGAUAUCACGAAGAACUCCGAUUGCGAAGGCAGUUCACUGGACUGCAACUGACACUGAGGCUCGAAAGUGUGGGUAUCAAACAGGAUUAGAUACCCCAGUAGUC